UGCUACCGGGCGACCGGAUGCGGAUCUUGAAAGCCUGUCCCAGUUCGGACUGGAGUCUGCAACCCGACUCCACGAAGUUGGAUUCGCUAGUAAUCGCGCAUCAGCCAUGGCGCGGUGAAUACGUUCCCGGGCCUUGUACACACCGCCCGUCACACCAUGAGAGUCUGUAACACCCAAAGCUGGUGGGAUAACCUUUAUAGGAGUCAGCCGUCUAAGGUAGGACAGAUGAUUAGGGUGAAGUCGUAACAAGGUAAC
rnacentral:rRNA from 1 species